GGUGGACGUCACAUGUGCAGCUCAGCUGUUGUGCUGAGAAUUGCUGACACGAGCAGUUCCAACCAGGAAAGCAGAGCUGCUUCCCACGGACAGAUUUUGGGGGAGAGAUCAGAGACAUACAGACUGUACUUCCUUCUGCGACACAGAAUUCGCACCUACUUGCUGAAUGGAAAACUUCCGUACAGCCAUGGUCUCCAACUUCAAAAUUGAGGGACUACAUUUAAUUCGCGCAACUAUUCCCAACAGCCAAGACAUGGAAACACCCUAAAUGUCCAUCAACAGAGGAGUGGAUCAAGAAGAUGCAGUAUAUGUCUACAAUGGAAUAUUACUCAGCCGUAAAAAAGAAUGAAAUAAUGCCACUUGCAGCCGCAUGAAUGGGCCUAGAGAUUAUCAUACUCACUGAAGUUAAUCAGACAGUGAAAGACAAAUACCAUACACUAUCACGUCUAUGUGGAAUCUAAAAUAUGAUGCAAAUGAUCCUGUCUACAGAACAGAAACAGACUCACAGACAUAGAGAACAGGCUUGUGGUCGCC
rnacentral:lncRNA from 1 species